UACGUAGGGUGCAAGCGUUGUCCGGAAUUAUUGGGCGUAAAGAGCUCGUAGGCGGUUUGUCGCGUCUGCUGUGAAAACUCGGGGCUUAACUCCGGGCCUGCAGUGGGUACGGGCAGACUAGAGUGCGGUAGGGGAGACUGGAAUUCCUGGUGUAGCGGUGAAAUGCGCAGAUAUCAGGAGGAACACCGGUGGCGAAGGCGGCCCCCUGGACCGGUACUGACGCUGAGGCGCGAAAGCGUGGGUAGCAAACGGG
rnacentral:rRNA from 1 species